rnacentral:rRNA from 1 species
CACGUAGGGUGCGAGCGUUGUCCGGAAUUAUUGGGCGUAAAGAGCUCGUAGGCGGUGUGUCGCGUCGGCCGUGAAAACCUGCAGCUUAACUGUGGGCGUGCGGUCGAUACGGGCAUCACUGGAGUUCGGUAGGGGAGACUGGAAUUCCUGGUGUAGCGGUGAAAUGCGCAGAUAUCAGGAGGAACACCGGUGGCGAAGGCGGGUCUCUGGGCCGAUACUGACGCUGAGGAGCGAAAGCGUGGGGAGCGAACAGG